rnacentral:misc_RNA from 1 species
AACGCACCUUGCGCUCCUUGGUAUUCCGAGGAGCAUGCCUGUUUGAGUGUCAUUAAAUUCUCAACUUCGUCAGUUUUGUUAUGAAACUGUGCGAAGCUUGGAUGUGGGGGUUUGUGCAGAGCGCGUAAAAGCAACCUGCUCCCCUUAAAUAAAUUAGCGAGUUCAAACUGGGCUCCGUCUAUUGGUGUGAUAAUUAUCUACGCCGUGGAUUGGGCUUAGACUUGCUUCUAAUCGUCCGCAAGGACAAUCUUUUGACAAUUUGACCUCAAAUCAGGUAGGACUACCCGCUGAACUUAA